GAUGAACGCUGGCGGCGUGCCUAAUACAUGCAAGUCGAGCGAACAGACGAGGAGCUUGCUCCUCUGACGUUAGCGGCGGACGGGUGAGUAACACGUGGAUAACCUACCUAUAAGACUGGGAUAACUUCGGGAAACCGGAGCUAAUACCGGGUAAUAUAUUGAACCGCAUGAUUCAACAGUGAAAGACGGUUUUGCUGUCACUUAUAGAUGGAUCCGCGCCGCAUUAGCUAGUUGGUAAGGUAACGGCUUACCAAGGCAACGAUGCGUAGCCGACCUGAGAGGGUGAUCGGCCACACUGGAACUGAGACACGGUCCAGACUCCUACGGGAGGCAGCAGUAGGGAAUCUUCCGCAAUGGGCGAAAGCCUGACGGAGCAACGCCGCGUGAGUGAUGAAGGUCUUCGGAUCGUAAAACUCUGUUAUUAGGGAAGAACAAAUGUGUAAGUAACUAUGCACGUCUUGACGGUACCUAAUCAGAAAGCCACGGCUAACUACGUG
rnacentral:rRNA from 1 species